AUUGAACGCUGGCGGCAGGCCUAACACAUGCAAGUCGAGCGGAGCGGCGGACGGGUGAGUAAUGCCUAGGAAUCUGCCUGGUAGUGGGGGGUAACGUCCGGAAACGGGCCCUAAUACCGCAUACUAUCAGAUGAGCCUCGGUCGGAGUAUCUAGUGGGUGGGGUAAAGGCCUACCAAGGCGACGAUCCGUAACUGGACUGAGAGGAUGAUCAGUCACACGGGAACUGGGACACGGUGCAGACUCCUACGGGAGGCAGCAGUGGGGAAUAUUGGACAAUGGGCGAAAGCCUGAUCCAGCCAUGCCGCGUGUGUGAAGAAGGUCCUCGGAUUGUAAAGCACUUUAAGUUGGGAGGCGUUAGCAAAAGAAUAAGCACCGGCUAACUUCGUGCCAGCAGCCGCGGUAAUUG
rnacentral:rRNA from 1 species